AAACGGAAGCAAGCAACUCUAUGGGUCAAUGCUGCGUUGGCUACCAAUCUGUCAUCAUUCUCAGUGUAUAGCAAAAAAGCAACUUCAUCUCCAAUUGCCCCUUCAGCUCCCUCGCCAAGCCCAAAGACUAUCGCUCUCAAUCAACCUAUGCUAGUCCUUGAUAACUCAACCAAAAGUACUCUUGCAAAACCUCAAGCCAAACCCCGCCCGACAAUGAGUUCUAAGAUUCAGUCAUCAGGAUCUCAACGGCGCUUAGCAGAUGGGAUAGCUGCUAAUCAAAAGCCAAAAUCUCCUCCUCCAGCGGAUUGGGUCAGAGGAGACGGUCUUGAAGAGGCUGUUGACUUAGCCGAGAUGUUACGAGUAGCGUCCCAAGACUGGUUCUUAGGAUUUGUAGAAAGGUUCUUGGAUGCUGAUGUUGAUGCCUCAGCUUUAUCAGAUAAUGGUCAAAUAGCCGGCAUGUUAUCCCAGCUGAAGAGUGUGAACGACUGGUUAGAUGAGAUCUCCUCUAGCAAGGAUGAUGAAAGUCCCCAAAUUGCUUCUGAGACCAUCGAUAGGAUAAGAAAAAAGAUCUAUGAAUAUCUUCUCACUCAUGUGGAGUCUGCUGCAGCAGCUCUUGGUGGUGGCAGUGGCGGUAGCUCACAAGUGCCACCUACAAUAGAAACCAAAACGAGAAAAUGAGUUCUAUUGCAUAAUGCAUACUACUAGCAACUCACCUUUCAUAUUUGAAGCAUGCUCCAAUAGUCCUUCAACCGCCAAGUGGUUAAAAGAGCUGAAAGUUUUAGGAUGUGUAUAGAUUCUAAAAUUGGUCGAGGUAGAGUAGUUUAGUAUAUAUAUUGUGCAGACAGGGAGUUACAUGAAGUUCAAGAUUUCCUUUUUUCUUUACCUGGAAACUUUUUCUCAUAAAUUAUGACUAGCUCAAAGUCGUGAGUAUAUACUUAUGUGAGUUCUGGAGAAAAGGGAACAUGUCCUUUCUCCUUACCUUGAACGAGUAACAAUGAACUUGUUACUGAAAUUAACCUUAUAGUUUGAUUGAUGACGUUAUGCA
rnacentral:misc_RNA from 1 species